GAAAGAUUCAUCGGAAGGGGAUGGGCAUGCGGCGCAUUAGCUAGACGGCGGGGUAACGGCCCACCGUGGCGACGAUGCGUAGGGGUUCUGAGAGGAAGGUCCCCCACACUGGUACUGAGACACGGACCAGACUCCUACGGGAGGCAGCAGUGAGGAAUAUUGGUCAAUGGGAGAGAUCCUGAACCAGCCAAGCCGCGUGAGGGAAGACGGCCCUAUGGGUUGUAAACCUCUUUUGUCGGAGAACAAAACCCGGGACGUGUCCCGGACUGCGUGUAUCCGAAGAAAAAGCAUCGGCUAACUCCGUGCCAGCAGCCGCGGUAAUACGGAGGAUGCGAGCGUUAUCCGGAUUUAUUGGGUUUAAAGGGUGCGUAGGCGGUCCGUUAAGUCAGCGGUAAAAUUGCGGGGCUCAACCCCGUCGAGCCGUUGAAACUGGCAGACUUGAGUUGGCGAGAAGUACGCGGAAUGCGCGGUGUAGCGGUGAAAUGCAUAGAUAUCGCGCAGAACUCCGAUUGCGAAGGCAGCGUACCGGCGCCAGACUGACGCUGAGGCACGAAAGCGUGGGGAUCGAACAGGAUUAGAUACCCUGGUAGUCCACGCAGUAAACGAUGAAUGCUGGUUGUCCGGGUCGAAUGAGAUCUGG
rnacentral:rRNA from 1 species